rnacentral:rRNA from 1 species
GACGAACGCUGGCGGCGUGCUUAACACAUGCAAGUCGAGCGGUAAGGCCCUUUCGGGGGUACACGAGCGGCGAACGGGUGAGUAACACGUGGGUGACCUGCCCUCAGCUCUGGGAUAAGCCCGGGAAACUGGGUCUAAUACUGGAUAUGACUCCAUGACGCAUGUUGUGGGGUGGAAAGCCUUGUGCGGCUGGGGAUGGGCCCGCGGCCUAUCAGCUUGUUGGUGGGGUGAUGGCCUACCAAGGCGACGACGGGUAGCCGGCCUGAGAGGGCGACCGGCCACACUGGGACUGAGACACGGCCCAGACUCCUACGGGAGGCAGCAGUGGGGAAUAUUGCACAAUGGGCGAAAGCCUGAUGCAGCGACGCCGCGUGA